UGGGUGAGGUCACUGUAGCAUUGUCAUCGCUCUGGGUUCCACCCACACUCAGGGUGAGAGGGAGAUUCUGAAGCUUUGUGUUUCUUGCUAGCUAGUCAAAGGUGACUAAUUCAUGUGGAUAGAAAAAUAAUACAUGCCAAAAGAAAUUUGAGGAACAAAUUCAGCCCUGAGACAGGUCACGGAAACAGCCCUCCAGUCUUCCUCAAGAAAUGUAGACUGAAUCAGCAUUUACCCACCCCUGGAAAAACGCAGGAGCUGCGCAUUCCUGGGAUCUCAGCAGGGCUUUUGGGAAGAGCAGAACUGGGCUGGAGUCACGGUUUCUGGGCUGACUCUAGAUUUUCCCCGGCUUUUGCCACCUGUGAUGGCUGGAGAGUAUCUGAAGAUGACAGCCAGUGUCCUUAGCUUGUGAAGAUUGGAUGAUGGCCGGGGCCCUCAGACCCCUUGGCCCCUCCUUAACUGCAGGUCUUCAAAAGCCCAACACCUGUUCGUCAUUUCUGUGGCUUCCCAGGGAGUCUUACUCUUCUGCUUCAAGCUGCUGGGUUUGACUCUGAGCAGUUUCUGUGCAGCCACAAAGAUUCUUAUGUGAGACACACUGCUGCUUCAGAGUGCUCCAACCCAUCUCCCCUGAUUAAACACUAACCAGGGCUGCCACAGCAAAGUGGCUCAAAUGGGUGACGUCAACAACAGAUUUACUUUCUCAUAGUUCUGGAGGCAGGUGUCUAGGAUCAAGGUGGUGGCAAGGCUAUUCCUUCUGUUGCCUCCCUCCUUGCCUUGUGGAUGACCGUCUUCUCCGCGUCUUUCCAAGAUCUCUCCUCUGUGCAUGUCAGUGUCCUUGCUUCCUCUUCUUAUGAAGACACCGGUCAUGUUGGAAUGCAACAGAAGAGAGUGCACGGCUUCUGAGGUUGCAGCUUUUGGGAGAAGCCAUCUACCAUUGAUGACAGACAUGCCGUGUGGAAACCAAACCAGCCAUGUGGAGAGGCUACCUGGACAGAGGCACAGGGCCAGCAGCAGCUGUGGAGACAGACAUGUGAGCAAAGAAAUCAUCUUUGAUGUACAGCCAAGUUGAGCCUUCAGAUGACUCCGAUUUCAGCCACCUUUGGACUGCAACCACAUGAAAGACUCUAAAUAGAAGCCUCCCAGCUGAUCCCGGUUAACCCACAGUGCUGAAGGGGAUAAUAAUAAAUUGUUGUUUUAAGCCA
rnacentral:lncRNA from 1 species